rnacentral:rRNA from 1 species
UGGCGAACGGGUGAGUAACACGUGGGCAACCUGCCCCUGGCUCUGGGAUAACUCCAAGAAAUUGGGGCUAAUACCGGAUAUGACCGCUGACCGCAUGGUCUGGUGGUGGAAAGAUUUAUCGGCUGGGGAUGGGCCCGCGGCCUAUCAGCUUGUUGGUGGGGUAGUGGCCUACCAAGGCGACGACGGGUAGCCGGCCUGAGAGGGUGACCGGCCACACUGGGACUGAGACACGGCCCAGACUCCUACGGGAGGCAGCAGUGGGGAAUAUUGCGCAAUGGGCGAAAGCCUGACGCAGCGACGCCGCGUGGGGGAUGACGGCCUUCGGGUUGUAAACCUCUUUCAGCAGGGACGAAGCGAAAGUGACGGUACCUGCAGAAGAAGCACCGGCCAACUACGUGCCAGCAGCCGCGGUAAUACGUAGGGUGCAAGCGUUGUCCGGAAUUAUUGGGCGUAAAGAGCUCGUAGGCGGUUCGUCGCGUCGGCUGUGAAAACCUGAGGCUCAACCUCAGGCCUGCAGUCGAUACGGGCGGACUUGAGUACUGCAGGGGAGACUGGAAUUCCUGGUGUAGCGGUGAAAUGCGCAGAUAUCAGGAGGAACACCGGUGGCGAAGGCGGGUCUCUGGGCAGUAACUGACGCUGAG